AACGAACGCUGGCGGCAUGCCUAACACAUGCAAGUCGAACGGCAGCACGGGAGCAAUCCUGGUGGCGAGUGGCGAACGGGUGAGUAAUAUAUCGGAACGUGCCCGGUCGUGGGGGAUAACGUAGCGAAAGCUACGCUAAUACCGCAUACGAUCUAAGGAUGAAAGCGGGGGAUUCGCAAGAACCUCGCGCGAUUGGAGCGGCUGAUAUCAGAUUAGGUAGUUGGUGAGGUAAAGGCUCACCAAGCCGACGAUCUGUAGCUGGUCUGAGAGGACGACCAGCCACACUGGGACUGAGACACGGCCCAGACUCCUACGGGAGGCAGCAGUGGGGAAUUUUGGACAAUGGGCGCAAGCCUGAUCCAGCAAUGCCGCGUGCAGGAUGAAGGCCUUCGGUUGUAACUAGCUUUGUACCGGUAAUAAACCUUUAGGUCGUGACCGAAGCUGAAU
rnacentral:rRNA from 1 species